rnacentral:rRNA from 1 species
GACGAACGCUGGCGGCGUGCUUAACACAUGCAAGUCGAACGGAAAGGCCCUGCUUGCAGGGUACUCGAGUGGCGAACGGGUGAGUAACACGCGGGUGAUCUGCCCUGCACUUCGGGAUAAGCCUGGGAAACUGGGUCUAAUACCGGAUAGGAGCCAUUUUUAGUGUGAUGGUUGGAAAGUUUUUUCGGUGUAGGAUGAGCUCGCGGCCUAUCAGCUUGUUGGUGGGGUAAUGGCCUACCAAGGCGGCGACGGGUAGCCGGCCUGAGAGGGUGGACGGCCACAUUGGGACUUAGAGGCGGCCCAGACUCCUACGGGUGGCAGCAGGGGGGAAUAUUGCACAAUGGGCGCAAGCCUGAUGCAGCGACGCCGCGUGGGGGAUGACUGCCUUCGGGUUGAAAACUCCUUUCGCUAGGGACGAAGCUUUUUGUGACGGUACCUAGAUAAGAAGCACCGGCUAACUACGUG